UUGAAUGGCCGCGGUAUUUUGACCGUGCUAAGGUAGCAUAAUCAUUAGUUUUUUUAUUGAAAGCUGGAAUGAAGGGUUGGAUGAAAAAAUAGCUGUCUCUAUUAAAUUAGUAUAKAAUUUUAUUUUUAAGUUAAAAAGCUUAAAUUUUUUUAAAAGACGAGAAGACCCUAUAGAGUUUAAUAAUUAAUUAUUAAAUAUUUUUAUAGAAUUAAUUUAAUAUUUAUUAUUAAUUAUUUAAUUGGGGUGAUUAAAAAAUUUAUUAAACUUUUUUUUAUAAAUAUAUUGAUUUAUAAAUUAUUGAUCCAAUAUUUUUGAUUAAAAGAAAAAAUUACCUUAGGGAUAACAGCGUAAUUUUAUUAGAGAGUU
rnacentral:rRNA from 1 species